UGAUGACAGCGGAGUGGAACACUAGAGAGUGAUGAUUGAUGGAUGGUGCUGCCUCGACUUGCUGUAGCUAAGACUUCCAGCUUUAAGUGACAGGCCAUGUCAUCCGCAUGCCAAACUCACGCCUCCCUAAACUGAUUCUCAGCUCCCAGUGGAUUGUGGACACACCAAAAGGACUUCUCUACAAGAGGAGCUGGAUGAAAAACACCUCCACAGAGCCGAGGAAGAAAAACUUCAACCACUAAAGCAGGGCAGUCUUGUUCAUUAUUUAAAAAAACCAUCCUGAACAUCCACAUUCUCUCACAAGAAGUUUGAUCCAUGUCUCUGUAUGUGGUUUUCACACAGAUUCCCACUGUGUACUGUAUGUGCAUGGCUAUGUGUGUGUGUGUGUUUUUCCCCCUCCAUUAAUGUACGUAUCUGUGUGCACACUGUAUAUUUGUGUGUCGGGUGUUUGUGCAACUACAUGUAGCAACUGAGAGUAGAAUGAUAAGCAAAGCCUGAGGUCAUCCAUCACACACGAUGUCUAUAACAAACAAGCAGGAGGAAAAGCAGGGAGCCAUGAUGGAGCUGAGGCCUCAACACAGCAGCUUGCAGACUAAACAGAUGUGUACAGUGGGUGAUGUAAAUGCCUUCCAGCUGGGGGGAAAAAUGGAAGAUCUGUUUCCCUUCAAAAAAAAAAAAAAACCUCCAUAAACUGCACUGAAGCUACUAUAUUCUGUUUGACUAGCCAGAUUUGAGCAAGAGAAGAUUCCCAUGAAAAUAUUUUUAUACAGAUUUCUAAUCUGAGGCAUCAUGAUGCUUUGUUACACAGAACCGUCUGAGAAGUCGUCCUUGGAAACUGUUUGGAAAAGGGCAAGCGCUUUUAAAAAAUACUUGGCAGGUGAUUGGAUGAGCCAUCUGUCUAUCACUGUCUAUCAAUGUCUAUCACUGUCUAUCAACAUCUUACCUUGUAAGGCAGCUGAAUUCGCAGUGGACACAAGUGCAUAACUUGAAGCCUGACAAGAUCGAUUCUUGCCAUGAUCUUUUGAUGUUGUGAAUCCAGCUACCUCACAAGGUGAAAAGACCACUAUGACCAUCGAAGGCCAGGAUCUAUGAUUGUACAUUUUAUUCCUACAAUAUUGUGUCGUCUCAUGUAAUGUGAACAAAGUAAGUUGGUAGCUGCAGAUUAGUAGUUAGUGGUUAAAGGGAAACUUUGGUAUUUUUCAAUCUGGACCCAAUUUCCCAUAAUUUUGUGUCUAAGUGACUAAUUGGGACAACCAUUUUUGAAACUGGUCCAGUAUUGAAUGACAGCGCUGUAGCCAACAGCCAGGAAACAGGAUGCAAUGUAAUCCGAUGGGGCAAUAGCAUCCCGUCAAUGUACGUCAACUAAAAGUGCUUAUUUUUGCCACUGACAGGCUCAGAUUGUCAUUAUAAGUGUCUGAUAACAUUAUGGA